GUGAGAAGAAUAAAACCAGAGAGCUAAGUGAAAGGACUACGUGCAAGAAACACAUAUUUUUCAAUGGCUCUGAGUACAUUUGGGCUGGAGAGCAGAAGAUGAUGUAAGCUGCAGGAAGAAGCAACUCAGUUGUCACAUCAGAUGAUGAAAUUAAGUUUUUUAUUCCCUGCCUAAAUCUUCCAUCUGGUAGCAAUAGCUCUACAGUGCUGGCAUUUAUCAAGAGAAGACACACAGCACAGCCUUGCAUAAAUAAUGGCACUGGGCCAAGUACAGCUGAGGUGGUUGCCAGCACAACUCCGUUGAAGUCAAAGGAAUUGCACCGCGGGCUGCUUCUGGAAGGGCUUCUGACUGCUUUAACACAGCAGUCUCGCCAAGAGUGCAGCGCCUCAGACAGUCGGGCUGGUACAGUGAAGAAAUCCUAAAGCUGGAGCUGGACCAAGCGGCGAGGGAACUUCUUGACCCAGAUUUGCUGCCAGAGAAGUGUUUGUGUAACUAUACGGUUAACGUGGUGUUUAUGCCCAUGUUGUACAAGACUUAUUAGAUAGCUGACAGGUAUUAAAGCGAGCUGCUUAAAAGGUUAGGGAUUGGGCAUGUUUCCCAAAACCAGAGAUAGGGCUAUUCCGGGAACUUGCUAGAAGGACAGACUCUACCUCUAAUGGGUAUAUCCACCUAUUAAAAAGUGGCUGUGUACAUUUAUGUGGGCUUGGGUUAUUCCUGUAGCUCAGAUGGAGGAUCCCUAGGUACAGCUUAGCAAUAUCCAAGAUUGAUGAAAUGGGUGUGACUGUAACUCCGUUAAUUUUCACUGGCAUUAACAGCCCUCUGGGAGUGACCCCAGAGCAGGACACUGCUGGCGCGCAAGGUGUCUGUCUUGUUCUGGUGUUUCUCAUAUGCUGGUGACAGGCUGGAUAGGAUGACUUAGAUUUGGCUCUGAAAAUUUAGAGAGGCUUUCAACAUGUUUGCACCUGAUGUUAUUGGAAGAUCCCAGUGGAAGACAAACCUGAGCACAAUUUAAGGUGACUUUCUCCAUAGAGGAAGUUACAAUUGAUCAGGUUUCUUUUCACAGCUGUGCAGCUGUGAUUAGGCAGCACUUUUAGGCAGUUGGGUACAGCAGGCCUUGAGCACAGCAUCUGUAGAUGUUUUCUUGUGUAGUACGGCUCCUGGGGUGGUGGUUUCAUGGCAGCACACACUGACCCACGUUAGUGCUGGUGUGGCUCUGCCCUGGGAGGGUGUAACAGAGUCCUUGAAAGCCAGAGCAUAAUUCUGUCUUUGACAGCCACCAUGGCCAUAUGGUCUUCUCGUACAUCUCCAGUUCCUUCCUCUUCAGUCAUACAAACUAGGUAAAUACAUAGAAAUAAGGACAGUUUCUAGGCACCUGGCUUAAACCAGAGAUAAAGGAUUGAGUGGGACCACUCAGACCGUGGAGCCUUGUCCCUACACUUGGAGGCGGGUGGACCUUAGAUGCUUGGUGGGAUGUCACAAGCCCACGCUGGUGUGUGAGAGGAGAGCAAGAUUUACACUGUGUUUUAGCCAUGUCUCACUUCAGCACAACGGGAAAGGCUUCAUUAAAUGAAAAUGCCUGGAUGGUCCCUAGUAAGUGUGCCAUGCAUAAGACUAUAAAGGAAAGCAAAAAGAGACAGCUAAAACUGUCUCUGCCAGUCUUGCUGUGGGAGCAGAAAACGUCCUUCAUAUUUUCAAUGGAGAACAUGUUACAUAAUUAAAAUACUGAAUAAUUGGCAAAUUUUGAAAAAUACAAUUUAGUGAGGAGUAAUCAGUGAAGGAGGAUACUUUUAGAGGGAGGCUGUGCAGAGGUCAACAUUGAAUUCACUACCAUUUAACAUGUUCAGCGGUGAAUGUUAAAUUCCUGCUCCUAACAUUUACAAGUGUAUUGGAGAGCUGCUCUGCCAAAGACUGAAGAAGAGGCAGUCCUUCAGAGAGAUCAGGAAUACUAAGCAACUAGAGUCCAUUUAAAGGACGUGCAUUUUAAUACGAGAAACAACCAAAUGAUGUGUCUAGAAACAUAGAACAACAUAAACAGAAUAGGGGGGAAAGGAAAGAAGUGGCUCUAAAAAAGAGAUUGGAAGGGGCAUUCGAUCGGUGUGAGGGGCCCUACAAUGGCAGGAAAGUUAGCGUGCGCCUUGGACGUAUGGAAGCAGCAAGGUAGUUUUCUGAGUACAACAGUCAGAACCUGAAAAUUGUUUCCAUUUCAUACUUUUUAAAAGGAUACUAAAAAGUGUAGAGUAUGAGGAAGAAAGCAAUGCUAAUUACUUAAGGGGAAGAGAGAAAGUUGUAUAAUGAGACACUUGCAGAUCAAGUUGUUCUUUAUACUAGAGCAGACUGAGAAGUGACUUGAUUAGUGUAUAAAUGCUCCAUGGUAAGAACAAAUGGAUAUUAAAGACCUUAAUUUAGCAGAGAAAAACACAACAAGAGCUAAUAGCUGGAAACUCAGUGCAACAAGCUCAAAUUAAGUAUUAGGCGGGCAUUUUUUAUUAUUAUAUUUAGUUAGCUGUUAUUAACCACUGGGGAAGUGAACGCAAAUCAACAAAGGCAAGGAUGGGACAUCUUCAAAUUAAGAGCAGCUGUAUUUGGGGGUGAUAGUCUUUAGCCAACUGUGAGCUAGUCUGCUUAAUAUGGGUGAAAUAGAAAUACAGGCUACAGCCAAAGAUUCUUUCUGUCUAAAAGUUUGUUUUAAGAAUUGUGCUAUAUUUAAAAUAAUGUAAGCAGUGGGGAAAUAUUCUUUUACUUCUUUGGCAAUAUUCUGAAACACAUGACCUGCACCUCUUUUUCAAGUGCACAGCUACAUCUAGUUACAAAUUAUUCUCAUCUGAGUAUGUGUGGGGGGGUGGUUCUUAUUAAUGUUAAGAGAACUGUUAUCAGGCUUUCUUAUGACCACAUGUAGUACACUGACCGCCCUCUCAGCCAAACUCUUCCUAGUUCAGUAGUGUAUGGAAGAGGAUCACAGUCCACCUCCUUUUGUGGCUGUAUUUUACAAGGUAAUGAAAGUAAAUGUGGAAGAUGCCAGAAAAAAGAAAGGUGUUAGUUUUUUUGUAACAUAUAUGAAAAGAAAUCCUGAGAGACUCAUUCCUCAGAAUCUGAGAGAUGCAGAAUUGCUAAGGACUCCAGAGCUGCACAAAAGCUGUUUCGUGUCUCUGUUUCUUAAAAGUAGCAUAAACAUCAGUUCUAUGUGAAAGUCAGGGGACUACAGGCUUAGUUAGUGUGGGGUAACUGUCCGACUUUUGUGCCCAGAGGCAAAAUUAUCUGGUAGUGGAUAAGUAGAGUUGCACCUGGUCUUAGGAUGGGUAAAAUUUAAAGCCUGGUAAAAUAUAAUGAAAUAAAGCUCAGUUACUCAGUCUUCUUGCUCUCCUUUAAGUGCUGUAGUCUGCAAUACAUUAAUUAUUUUUCAUUCUUUACAUUAGCAGGCCCAGUUCUCCAUCAUAUCCGUCACUUUGACUUGAACAGUCUUGGGUUUUUUGUUUUCCUCUGGUUCUAGCUACGGUUUAAGCAUCUGUUUGGACAGCUUCGGAUCUCCAGUAGUUAAACAUCCUGUGACUUGUCUUCAGCUGUCACAUUUCAGGUCCUUCCAAAAGACACACAUCAUGUGCUACUUAAAACUUUUGUUUAGCUUGUUAGUUAUUUAAGUGUAGCUUAAUGGUAUGCCAGAUGCUCUCCAGUCAGAGAAGUGCUUUGCUUGCACUCCCCCAUCUGUGUGUGACUCUCUCCUUUUAAAUCUGCUUUCUGCAGCAGACUUUCUGAGACAGAUCAAAUUGCUUCAAGGCCCUGAAGAACUCGUGAUUCAACAUCCCUUUUUGUCCAGUUUACACAGCUUAAUUGCCGCUUUGCACACUGCUCCCAGCCUCAGCCCAAAAGACAUGCAGUAAGGCAAGUAAUGUGGCACGUUGGCGGGGCCACUGAGAACAGGUUGCUACGUCAAGAUCCUUGGAGACACUUAGGAGCUUUGGGGAAGAUGGAUGAAAUACAGCUGCAAAGCACCCUCUUGCAACGGAGAAUCUUUUAGCUUUCAAGUACAUGGAUAGUAUCAGCUGUCAUAGAUAUUGAUUUCACCGAACAUUUCUUUGCCCUUGGCAACAUCGCCAUUGUGGUACACUAAAUAUGCUAUUUGCGAAGCAUCCUUUUCCUUCAGCCCUUAACCAAUGCUUUCUCCAUGUGCUUUCCCAACCAGAGAGAAAAAUCUUGUCUUCGUAGAUUGAUCUACUUAAGGAAACGCAGUGCUGCUUCUUGCUUAUUAAGAUUCAGAUCUCUUCUAGAUUGCUGGCUUAAGCUCAUCUCUUCUGUGUAAAUUUCUGGGGGAGUGAGUGAGAAAAAGGAAUGGGAGACAGAAAGGAUAUUUUAGGCAGCUGUUCAGCAACCUGUGAAAUAAUCUGAGGUCUUAACCCCACACAUGUCCAUGUCACAUACUCCCCAUCACUAUUUAUAACCUUUUCGGCUUUACAAGCAAAGAGGGCAGGAAUGUGCAUGGAGAUGAAGCCAGCUAUUUUCCCAUGCCUAGACGUGGUAGUCCAGUUGAUGGGCAGAGAUACUGGGAAAGAAUGUUGUGAAAGCUGGGCAUAGGGAGCUGGUGCUCUCAGGGCCCCACACUACACCUGAUUUUUGAAGGGAAUGUGGGAAAAGGACUCUCAGACUCCAGGUCGGUUACUGUAGAGCCUUUCAAGAGAACUGUAACUGAUUCUGAAAAUUCUCCUUUUCAAAAGCCUUCAGAGACACUUUUUUUUUUCAUUAUACACGACAAUAAAAUGAAUGUAAAAAGAGUUCAUAUGUGGGAUAUUUCGCAUUAAAUUUUAAAGCUAAAGCAGUGCCAGGCUGUGUGUGAAAGUAAUUUCAUUAAUUUUAUUCAGCAGAUGAUUCUAUCAGAUACAGCUUUUAUAUCUGCACCAAGUUUAGUGAACUGUAAACGUAAGUGGUAAAUUGGUGAGGUAGUACCUUUUAAAUUAUGAAAAAACGAACAUUAGUUGUAAUACCCAGUACGAAUCUGCUUACUGUGGGUAGCUACCAUUUUCAACUAGCUGAGUCUUUAAGCUGAACAGUUGAUUGCAUUUUGUUCACAUGGAAAUUUGAUCCAUAUUUGCCAAUGCAUUUAGCUAUUUACAGGAUGUAUUGCUGAUGGAAAGUGUUGUCACCUGUGUGACCUGAAUCAGGAAGUAUAACAUUGGUAGGUAGGAUACGUAUUUUUUUGAUAGCUAUUUCCUGUGUAAUGCACCUUUAUUUUUUCUCUACAUGGGCUGUCAUUUAGAAACCAGAGUCCACUGCCCACCCUGACAGAGUGCUGUUCCUUGACUUCUUUGGCCUAUCUCUCAAAAGAAGGAUGCUAUAACUAAAACCAGGGCAGACACCUCAGUUACUCCAGACUCACAGAGUCUUUAAAAGGUGGAGGAGGUCGGUUCAUCAGCGUGUAAAUCCAGAGGAUGCUAUUCCAGGAGGACUGAUACAGGCUGAACUCUGUAAGAAGGCCGGGUAAGAAAGUCACCUUCCUGAACGGAAACUAAGUCCUUUUGUUCUCAUGAGUUGUCUAAGUCUUGCUUGGAGAAGGCCGACUGUCCCCGAGUGAUGGAGAGUGCCGCUGCAAUCUUCCGUGACUGACACUCCUGCCUCUCUGCCAGGAGACAAGACCACAGAUCGCCAUGAUGCUGUUCUGGUAUGGGACUUCCUCACAGGUGGCAGUUCCCUUCAAGAGCUCAGCUGGCUCUCCCAACCAGCAGCUGUGCUGUGCUGUGCUACCACAAAACCAGCGUGCUUUACUGGUGGGCGCUUGAUAGAGAGGUGGAAAGGAAAAGUGAGAAGAACUCAGUGCAUUUUGAGCACCCUGUCCUCCCCUCUCCUAGAGGAGAAGGGCCACGCAGUGAUAAUGCCCACGUGCUAGCGGAGUGGAAGCAAAGAUAAAGCAUGCAGGACAGAUACUACUGUCACUGUCAUUGCAGAAAUCACAGUAAUGUAGCACGUGGAUGACUGUACGUGCAGCAUUAUCAUUGUUCUGCUAUACUGUCCAUUGUGUCUCUGUAUUUCUCAAACUCUGAGAAUAUCCAUAUUAGCAUUUUGGUUUGGGUCAGGAGUUCACUUUAAGGUGAAUGACUUUAUUAUCCCUGCCUACCAGGCUUUGCUUCUCCUUGCUGAGUGGUAUGACAGCACAGGAACUGAAUUCAUGCCAGCUGAAACUUAACUGGAAGAUGCAGUCCAGCAGCUAGUGGGUGGUUAGUCCACAGGAGAAAACUAGAGCAAAUUAAAAUCUCACCAAAACAUGUAUAAUCUGAAUUUUGAGUCCUUAGCACUAGCCAUUUCCCUCUUUAUGUCCUCUCCUACUGGGCUGCUCUAUUUGUUGUUGUCAGGUGCAUAUAUCAGAAAUUAACUGUGUUUGCCCAGUUUUCCUCAGGGACCUGAUUUAUGAUAUACUGACCAGCUUUCUGUUGUUUCUAACUUGCUUUUUCCCUUCUCUUUGUCUUCCACUUACUACUAUGAAAAGGCCAGUCAGUGAAAAUAAUCGAGUGCUUCUCCACAGUUAAUGUGAUUUGCUCUGGCCUUGCAAAAUCUGUGCAUACUUUCUGACUUGAUACACCUUGUAUUUUAUGCAUCAGUGUGCAAUGAUCAUUUGGUUAUAACAAUUAAGCUGGGGAUCAUCUCCAUCAAUCUUCAUAAUAAUCUUCUAUUAUAUUUUAACAAAUGAGAUGAGAAAUAAAACAGCCUUACUCUUGUAUUAGCAUGGUGCAGAUGUCCUUUUAAAGUUCUAAAUUGCACAAUGCAGCCUGAUAACUAUUAACUGCCUACAAAGGCAUGUUAAGGAAUGAGAACGUAAAAGCCAAAUGCACUUGUUUCAGCUGGUAAGAUUUUUGAAACAGGAGAAAAAAAGCCCUUAUGUGAAGGUGUGGAAAAUCAGUUUGUUGAAGUGUUAUAAUCUUUCCAUAGAAGGAUUGGGAAGGAUGACUUAAUUGAGUCCUCUGUAGAGGCUUAUCUUAGUCUUUACCUACUCUGUUAUAAAAUUUACCAUAGGAGUAAGAAAUGGUUACUGCUCAGGCAAUACAGAUAUAGCAUGAACACAAAGAGAUAGGCUUCCUCUGAAGAGAUGAUAAUGCUAUAGCCACAGUGACGUUGUUCUCUAAACCCUGUCAAGCUGUCUUAAGAGUGGGUGGAAUCGAUAAAACAUUCCUAUCACAAGCAAAAGGCUCAUUUGUAUUACCAAACAAACAACCAAAACUAAAAUUUCGCGUUCUAAUGGUCUUGAUGUAGGUUCCUCAUUCAUUUCCUCAGAUAUUUCCUGGAUAACUUGUAAUGUUCAUCGGGGAACGACUAAAACAUUUUACACAUGAUGUUAAAAGAUUUUCUCCUGGUACUAUCAGGGAGCAUUAGGACUUUCUAGGCUUUGAAAUGUGGAAGCUACUGAUGCUCCAUGAUCUUGGAGAUCCUAUCUCUGGCAGUGUAGUAAUUAUACUGUUGUCAAAAUGUUGUGUCUAAUGCUGAAGUAAUGAAAAAGCAAGAAUGCUUUCUUCAGUAAAAGCACAUAUUCCUAGGUGAUAAAUUGCCUUUUGAAAAGAAAUGCUGAGCAAACUCAGGAAAGUUGUCCAUUACUCUGUGAUCUUCAAGAAAGUGAUUGAUAAGUAUUUUCAACUUCGCUUCCCAUUGCACCGCUUAAUGAACUCACUUGCACUUGGUUGCUCCCCAUUAAGUUUUGUGGUGCCCAAUUAGGCUCUUGCUUUGCUUACAUGGUUCCAAAUACGUAGCCAAACUGAAGGCUUAUGGAGAGCUAAACUUGGCCACUUGCCACUUUUAAUUUCUCACUUACAUUUUGUUUGAAGAAGUCAGUGUGUUUUCCCCAUGUCGUGCAACAGUGAGGAUAAGAAGUAGAUGAAAUUGCUUCCUCUUCACACUGAAUAAGGAACUUGAUUCUAAUAGGGCGUGUAAAAUCAACUCAGAAGGCUUUUGGGAGGUUUGAGGAUCAUGGGGGUUUUAGUUAGAAGGAAAGCAAAGGUAGAAACUUUCUUCUUCCUAACAUGUUACAUCUCUGAAGGAAGUUCCAUGAAGGUGAUAUUCAGGAGAGUUACUUAAAAGCAAGCAAAAGAGUGUACCAAGAAAAACUGAGUUUGAAGCUUUGCACCAGAGCUGUCAGGAGGACCUUUAGCGUCAAACCUGGGUUCUUGGGCAAACACUGGUGUAAGCCCCUGGCUGUUGCAAGAACUUCCAGAGCAAGUUGUGGGCGAGGUUUUGGUGGUAGCAGAGGAUGGGAAAAUACAGAGAAGGGAGAUAAUCUAGGUAGAGUGACUCUGGGAAACUGAUCUUCACUGUGCACCCUGGUGGUGGGAGCUGAGCCCGUUUCUGUAAUGGUCCUUCACCCUGGCUUGAGGCUGCCUCAUCACUGGACCAAAAGCAGUGCAAGUGAGGAUCUAAGAUCCCAGACAGAUUAUUGUGCUGGAUUUAUCUCUAGACUACAGGUGCUACUGCCCCUGUCUCUCUACCCUGAGCCUCAACAAGUGGCAACAGGCACAUGCUGUACCUCAUGACCUGCUCAUGGAAAUGCCAGAGGAUUGAGCUUGAGCUGCUGAUGGGGACAUCUGACAUCAUGACCGUGAGCGCUGAUCUGCUAUAACUGAAAAGCAGACAGGGCUCCUGAAGGAUGGGGCAGGAGCAGGUUUAGCUACUGAUGCAGCUGAUUCCAAGCGGCUUCAUUUGGGGGAGCCUCAAGUGUUUAUUCGUGACCAGAAUAGGAGCAUUUUAGUAACAAACCUUUAAAAACAUUUCUUGCCGCUUUUCCGUUUCAUUCCCUGAAAGGGUUCUACACUCACCCGCAUGCAUCUACUUUUAGAACGCUUUCUCCGUUUAACGACUAUGUUCCACUUCAUUCAAAGAUUAAUAGCAGUACAAUUAUUAAUUGCAAAUUUAUAACCUUUUGCUCAGGUGGGGAGAGUGUAACUUCUCAUAAACAUUAGCUCCAGAUGAAAUGUCAUGUUGCAGGUCUCAGCUGUGAAGCUGUGCUUUUAAUUAAUUUUCAGAUUUUCCGUUCGUUCUGAGAGAUAUCACAGGAAUUUGCAAACACUCAUUUAAUCUCCAUGGGCUGAAUCCUACUUUCAUCCACCCGGUGACUGCGAUGAUGGUUUGUUUGCGUGACGACUGCAUACUUGUGCCCAUCGGCACAACAGCGUCAAAGGCUUUAGAAGAUGCUAGGGGCCCUUUCUGCAAAAUCUGAGGUCAGAGGGACCUGCCACCUAGCUGGAGCAUUUGACUGCAAAGACUCCCAGCCUAAGAAGCUGCAAUAAGGAAUAUGGUUUAGAAAAAAAUGCCAUCUAGAAAAGUCCAUGCUGAGAGCGUCCUUCAGCCCAUAUAGCUGGCUAUUCCAGUGUUUAUCUUCCUGCUAGAAAUUGCUAUGGAAUAAAAAUUUGUGUACUGUCAGAUCAUUUUUGCACAGUGAUCAACAUUUUUUUAGUCGAUCUUCAAUAAAUUGAGAUGAUAUGAGUUUUUGAAGCCACAUGUUGUAGGGUUUUCUUUUCCAGCCCCAGGAUUUUCUUUUUCUUGGCAGUACUCCCAUCUGUUGGAAUUGUUCCAGUUUUCCAUGAUUUAUUAUAAUAAAAAUAAUUUAUGAACGUUAAUGAAUUGGAGAACCCUUCAGCUAAGCAAUUUUAGGCUUUAUGGGGGUGCGGGUAAGUUAACCAGACUUGUUGAUUAUUUAUGCCCACAUUUAAUCUUGGCAGAUGUGGUCUUUUUAAACUUUUUGCAAUGUUUCAUAUUAUAUAGAAUAGAUGCAUUCUCAUUUUAUAAUUCUCAUUAUAAAAUGGAAAUAUCUACUGAACAUUUUACCUUUUCUCUGGUGUUAUUUAUGAUUUAUGAUUUAUGAUUGAAAUGUAUUUAAUCCUUGGUCAGGCACUUCUUGUUCUUAUUAAAAAUUCCAUCUUAUUGUCC